AAACUUGCAUACAGGUGCUGCACGGCUGUCGUCAGCUCGUGUCGUGAGAUGUUGGGUUAAGUCCCGCAACGAGCGCAACCCUCGUCCUUAGUUGCUAACAGUUCGGCUGAGAACUCUAAGGAGACUGCCUACGCAAGUAGGAGGAAGGUGAGGAUGACGUCAAGUCAUCAUGGCCCUUACGUCCAGGGCUACACACGUGCUACAAUGGGGUAUACAAAGAGCAGCAAUACGGUGACGUGGAGCAAAUCUCAAAAAUGCCUCCCAGUUCGGAUUGUAGUCUGCAACUCGACUACAUGAAGUUGGAAUCGCUAGUAAUCGUAGAUCAGCUAUGC
rnacentral:rRNA from 1 species